rnacentral:lncRNA from 1 species
GAUUCUUCAACACAUUGCAAAAGACCCAAAGAUAAAAUUAUUACAGGUGACGUUGUUCUAGGAACGUUACCAAAGGUUCCCCAGGCUCUAUUUUUAAACGACCAUAGUAAGCCAUCAAAUUUCUUGUGCUUCCAGAACCAGUUGAGUCAAAAAAUCAACACCUUCUGAGAGUCCAGCAUCAAAAGGUGAGACUGUUUGAAAAUGGCUAUCAACAACCAAAUGGCUUUAAACCAGAAGACAUUCGUUGUAUGACCUUGGGUUUAGGUGUCUACAGGAAGAUUUGUCUUGUCACUGAAGGAUUGAUACCCAAGAAACAGAAUCUAUGUAUCCUGGUGCAGCAUAUCACAAGUAUGACCCGAUCUUUUUUCACUCCACUGGAAACUGAUUUAGUUUUAGAUGCCUGGAUGGGGUAGUCACUGAUGGAUAUGACAAAGGAAUAUCAAAAAUUGUACUCAGGCGAGAGAGAACAACCUGGCCCUUGAAGAAUGAAUGGCAGUACAUGGCUAAUAUCAGAAAUUCACAGUCCUCUGGUUAUAGGACAGUACGUUGACAAUUGUUCAGACAACAGAGCCACUAAGGUCUGCUAUCAGGAAUUAGGUAUGCCUGCAGUUUUCCCUAGAGAACUGAAACAAAUUUCCCAAACAUUUCCUGCAGUUGUGACAAAGGUCAG